GAACUGACGGGAUCCUGAAGAAGUCGGGAGCUGAAAGUGGAGAACGGGUGGCGGUGUGUUGAAGCUCAGCCGAGGAGCAGGUGCAGAGAGGAGGCUGGGCUUUAUUAAGGGAGCGAUGCCUUAUGAUUGGAGGAGCUAAAGAAAAGACGGGUGCCGAUAGGCUGGGACGGAGGCAUAUGAUGUGAUUGGCUGAGCAGGCAGCUGUAUGACUGUGACUGCGUGGCACAGAAAUAAAGCGACACAACUCUAAAUAUCAUUCUUGAAGAACAUCCCUAGGUUACUUGCUUUAAAAAGGAUGACAUAUCACUGAAAUGCACACAGUAACUGUGUUUAAUGAUAUUUUCAAAUUUAUUGAUGCACUCAUGGAAAUAAUAAUGGGGGUUGGGGGAAGUGAAAAUAAAAUUUCUGAUCA